AUGACGUCAUCACAGGUCCUUCAGCUCAUCUUUCUAUCUAUGGAGGAGUGAGAGUUCUGAGGAGCAGUCAGGAUGGAGGAUCCCCUCACAUCAGCAGAUUGUAAGGUCUUGUGAUCAGAGUUAUUAUUAUGUGUCUUACACCUCGGAAUCUCCUGAGGAAGAAAUGAAAGCCGAGUCUCUGGAUGGAACAGAAGCUCCAGGCCUGGGAAUUCUAUGUGGGGUUUGGUAGAAAGUUGAUGGAUCCAGGAGGAGAAAUCCCCCCGAGAGAUGU